AGAAAGUUAGUCUAACCCAAGACAGCUGAUUUCGACUCAGCAAAUCAUAGAUUAACCCUAUGACCUUCUU
rnacentral:tRNA from 1 species